rnacentral:rRNA from 1 species
UAAUACGUAGGGGGCAAGCGUUGUCCGGAUUUAUUGGGCGUAAAGAGCGUGUAGGCGGCCAGAUAGGUCCGUUGUGAAAACUCGAGGCUCAACCUCGAGACGCCGAUGGAAACCAUUUGGCUAGAGUCCGGAAGAGGAGAGUGGAAUUCCUGGUGUAGCGGUGAAAUGCGCAGAUAUCAGGAAGAACACCCGUGGCUAAGGCGGCUCUCUAGUACGGUACUGACGCUGAGACGCGAAAGCGUGGGGAGCGAACAGGAUUAGAUACCCUGGUAGUCCACGCCGUAAACGAUGGGUGCUAGGUGUGGGGGGUGUCGACUCCCUCCGUGCCGAAGCUAACGCAUUAAGCACCCCGCCUGGGGAGUACGGCCGCAAGGCUA